rnacentral:rRNA from 1 species
UGGUCCCUACGGGACGCAGCAGUGGGGAAUAUUGCACAAUGGGGGAAACCCUGAUGCAGCGACGCCGCGUGAGUGAAGAAGUAUUUCGGUAUGUAAAGCUCUAUCAGCAGGGAAGAAAAUGACGGUACCUGACUAAGAAGCCCCGGCUAACUACGUGCCAGCAGCCGCGGUAAUACGUAGGGGGCAAGCGUUAUCCGGAUUUACUGGGUGUAAAGGGAGCGUAGACGGCCAGACAAGUCAGAAGUGAAAGCCCA